GAUCCCAUCUUGCUGCAUAAUCUUGGGAAAGAAGAUCACAACGGUGGCUUGCCCGAGUUUCACCUCUAAGCUUUGAACUUGAAGCUGCAUUGAAGUUGGCUAGAUAUUUGUGCAGGUCCUGCUCCCUGGCAUCUCGGGCUAUCGCUGUUGGCAUGGCGGUCUCAUCACCAUCAGGU